rnacentral:rRNA from 1 species
CGCUAUCACUCCUACGGGGAGGCAGCAGUAGGAACCUUCACAAUGGGCGCAAGCCUGAUGGAGCAACACCGCGUGAGUGAAGAAGGGUUUCGGCUCGUAAAGCUCUGUUGUUAAAGAAGAACACGUAUGAGAGUAACUGUUCAUACGUUGACGGUAUUUAACCAGAAAGUCACGGCUAACUACGUGCCAGCAGCCGCGGUAAUACGUAGGUGGCAAGCGUUAUCCGGAUUUAUUGGGCGUAAAGAGAGUGCAGGCGGUUUUCUAAGUCUGAUGUGAAAGCCUUCGGCUUAACCGGAGAAGUGCAUCGGAAACUGGAUAACUUGAGUGCAGAAGAGGGUAGUGGAACUCCAUGUGUAGCGGUGGAAUGCGUAGAUAUAUGGAAGAACACCAGUGGCGAAGGCGGCUACCUGGUCUGCAACUGACGCUGAGACUCGAAAGCAUGGGUAGCGAACAGGAUUAGAUACCCUGGUAG